UACGGAGGAUCCAAGCGUUAUCCGGAUUCAUUGGGUUUAAAGGGUGUGUAGGCGGCAUGAUAAGUCAGUGGUGAAAGCCUGCAGCUUAACUGCAGAACUGCCAUUGAUACUGUCAAUCUUGAGUACAUUUGAUGUGGGCGGAAUGUGUCAUGUAGCGGUGAAAUGCUUAGAUAUGACACAGAACACCGAUUGCAAAGGCAGCUCACAAAACUGUAACUGACGCUGAGGCACGAAAGCGUGGGUAUCAAACAGG
rnacentral:rRNA from 1 species